GCUCCAGUGGCCUAGUGGUUAGAGCAUCCACCCUGGAUGCGGGAGGUCAUGGUUUCGAUCCCCAGCUGAGUCA